rnacentral:rRNA from 1 species
UCCUACGGGUGGCUGCAGUGGGGAAUAUUGCACAAUGGGGGAAACCCUGAUGCAGCAACGCCGCGUGAGUGAUGACGGUCUUCGGAUUGUAAAACUCUGUCUUCAAGGACGAUAAUGACGGUACUUGAGGAGGAAGCCACGGCUAACUACGUGCCAGCAGCCGCGGUAAUACGUAGGUGGCAAGCGUUGUCCGGAUUUACUGGGCGUAAAGGGAGCGUAGGUGGAUAUUUAAGUGGGAUGUGAAAUACUCGGGGUUAACCUGAGUGCUGCAUUCCAAACUGGAUAUCUAGAGUGCAGGAGAGGAAAGUAGAAUUCCUAGUGUAGCGGUGAAAUGCGUAGAGAUUAGGAAGAAUACCAGUGGCGAAGGCGACUUUCUGGACUGUAACUGACACUGAGGCUCGAAAGCGUGGGGAGCAAACAGGAUUAGAUACCCCUGUAGUCUC